UCUACGGCUCUAAUCAGAGCCACCAUUUCCAUCAUUGUGGGAAUG
rfam:Ophiophagus hannah scaffold389.1, whole genome shotgun sequence.